AGUGAACGCUGGCGGUAGGCCUAACACAUGCAAGUCGAACGGCAGCACAGUAAGAGCUUGCUCUUACGGGUGGCGAGUGGCGGACGGGUGAGGAAUACAUCGGAAUCUACUUUUUCGUGGGGGAUAACGUAGGGAAACUUACGCUAAUACCGCAUACGACCUACGGGUGAAAGCAGGGGAUCUUCGGACCUUGCGCGAUUGAAUGCGCCGAUGUCGGAUUAGUUAGUUGGCGGGGUAAAGGCCCACCAAGGCGACGAUCCGUAGCUGGUCUGAGAGGGUGAUCAGCCACACUGGAACUGAGACACGGUCCAGACUCCUACGGGAGGCAGCAGUGGGGAAUAUUGGACAAUGGGCGAAAGCCUGAUCCAGCCAUACCGCGUGGGUGAAGAAGGCCUUCGGGUGGUAAAGCCCUUUUGUUGGGAAAGAAAAGCAGCAGGUUAAUACCCCGCUGUUCUGACGGUACCCAAAGAAUAAGCACCGGCUAACUUCGUG
rnacentral:rRNA from 1 species